AACAAACGCUGGCGGCGUGCCUAACACAUGCAAGUCGUACGAGAAAGGGUCCUUCGGGACCUGAGUAAAGUGGCGCACGGGUGAGUAACGCGUGGAUAAUCUGCCCCUCAGUUGGGAAUAACCCAUCGAAAGGUGGGCUAAUACCGAAUAACACUGUCCGGCCUCGGUCGGGUAGUCAAAGAGAGCCUCUGCUUGCAAGCCCUCGCUGAAGGAUGAGUCCGCGUACCAUUAGCUAGUUGGUAGGGUAAUGGCCUACCAAGGCGACGAUGGUUAGCUGGUCUGAGAGGAUGAUCAGCCACACUGGAACUGAGACACGGUCCAGACUCCUACGGGUGGCUG
rnacentral:rRNA from 1 species